CAGGGAAUCUUGGGCAAUGGGCGAAAGCCUGACCCAGCGACGUCGCGUGGGGGACGAAGGCCUUAGGGUUGUAAACCCCUUUUCCGAGGGAAGAUACAGGACGGUACCUCGGGAAUAAGCCCCGGCUAACUACGUGCCAGCAGCCGCGGUAAUACGUAGGGGGCAAGCGUUACCCGGAAUCACUGGGCGUAAAGUGCGCGUAGGCGGUUGGAUAAGUCUCUUGUGAAAGCUCCCGGCUCAACUGGGAGAGGUCAAGGGAUACUAUUCGACUUGAGGACAGCAGAGGUAAGCAGAAUUCCCGGUGUAGCGGUGGAAUGCGUAGAUAUCGGGAGGAACACCAGUGGCGAAAGCGGCUUACUGGGCUGUAACUGACGCUGAGGCGCGAGAGCGUGGGGAGCAAACUGG
rnacentral:rRNA from 2 species